GGCCUCUGCUAUACAACAUGAUCACAAAAAUUGUAAGACAUGCUGACAAAGGUUGCUCAGCAACACUAGAAAAUGCAAAAAUGAUAUGCUUGUUUUGGGAUAAAAAAUAAUGUAAGGUAACAUAGUAGUUACUAAACUUCAAAAACCAAAGAAGUUUCAUUUAUUAUACAAGAAACAAGGAUCGAUUCAGUGAGAAGAAAAGAUACACAAACACAGCAAGAAUUGACCAAGAAUUCUUGUUUAUUGAGUUUACCAUCCAAGGUCCCACAACUUUUUUAUCCUUUCCUUUCUACCCUUGCUAUCCAACAGCUUUCCCCUUUCUUCCGCUUUGCUUAAGUUCUCAACAAUUCAAAAUCUCAUCUGAAUCUGAUUUCAAAACAAAAUUCAAAAUUUCCCUCCUAAUCUAGUCCAUUUACCCUCUUAACCAAAUGUUCCUCAUCUGUACCAUGCUAAAUUGAUUCCCACAACAUCCCUAAGAGAAGACAGCAAUCAUCU
rnacentral:misc_RNA from 1 species